rnacentral:rRNA from 1 species
AACGAACGCUGGCGGCAUGCCUAACACAUGCAAGUCGAACGAGACCUUCGGGUCUAGUGGCGCACGGGUGCGUAACGCGUGGGAACCUGCCCUUAGGUUCGGAAUAACUCCCCGAAAGGGGUGCUAAUACCGGAUAAUGUCUUCGGACCAAAGAUUUAUCGCCUUUGGAUGGGCCCGCGUUGGAUUAGCUAGUUGGUAGGGUAAAAGCCUACCAAGGCGACGAUCCAUAGCUGGUCUGAGAGGAUGAUCAGCCACACUGGGACUGAAACACGGCCCAGACCCCUACGGGAGGCAGCAGGGGGGAAUAUUGGAAAAGGGGCGAAACCCUAACCCAGCAAUGCCGGGUGAGUGAUGAAGGCCUUAGGGUUGUAAAGCUCUUUUACCCGGGAUGAUAAGGACAGUACCGGGAAAAUAACCCCCGGCUAACUCCGU